rnacentral:rRNA from 1 species
AGUGAACGCUGGCGGUAGGCCUAACACAUGCAAGUCGAACGGCAGCACAGUAAGAGCUUGCUCUUACGGGUGGCGAGUGGCGGACGGGUGAGGAAUACAUCGGAAUCUACUUUUUCGUGGGGGAUAACGUAGGGAAACUUACGCUAAUACCGCAUACGACCUACGGGUGAAAGCAGGAGAUCUUCGGACCUUGCGCGACUGAUUGAGCCGAUGUCGGAUUAGCUAGUUGGCGAGGUAAAGGCCCACCAAGGCGACGAUGCGUAGCCGACCUGAGAGGAUGAUCAGCCACACUGGAACUGAGACACGGUCCAGACUCCUACGGGAGGCAGCAGUAGGGAAUAUUCCACAAUGGGCGAAAGCCUGACGGAGCAACGCCGCGUGAGUGAUGAAGGUCUUCGGGUCGUAAAGCUCUUUUAUUAGGGAAGAACAGAUGUGUAAGUAACCAUGCACGUUUUGACGGUACCCAAACAAUAAGCCACGGCUAACUUCGUG